CCUACGGGAGGCAGCAGUAGGGAAUCUUCCACAAUGGGCGAAAGCCUGAUGGAGCAACGCCGCGUGAGUGACGAAGGCCUUCGGGUUGUAAAACUCUGUCAUUCGGGACGAACCGGAGUCUGAGGAAAUGCAGACUCUCUGACGGUACCGGAGGAGGAAGCCCCGGCUAACUACGUGCCAGCAGCCGCGGUAAUACGUAGGGGGCAAGCGUUGUCCGGAUUCACUGGGCGUAAAGCGCGCGCAGGCGGUGAUGUAAGUCUGAGGUGAAAACCCGAAGCUCAACUUCGGGACUGCCUUGGAUACUGCGUCACUUGAGGAUAGGAGAGGCAAGGGGAAUUCCACGUGUAGCGGUGAAAUGCGUAGAGAUGUGGAGGAACACCUGUGGCGAAGGCGCCUUGCUGGCCUAUUUCUGACGCUGAGGCGCGAAAGCGUGGGGAGCAAACAGGAUUAGAUACCCUGGUAGUCCACGCUGUAAACGAUGAGUGCUAGGUGUAGGUGGGCUCAUACCCAUCUGUGCCGAAGCUAACGCAUUAAGCACUCCGCCUGGGGAGUACGGUCGCGAAGACUGAAACUCAAAAGGAAUUGACGG
rnacentral:rRNA from 1 species